GAACACUCCGGACAGGGACUUCAUUCUGGACCGACACCCCCGUUUUGAAAACAUUGUCAUCGGAGCCGGAUUUUCAGGCCACGGAUUCAAGUUUGCCCCGGUCGUGGGAAAGAUCCUGUGCGAACUGAGUCUCGGGGAGCAGCCCACUUACGACCUCUCCCCCUUUCGGCUCAGCCGCUUCUUCCAGGGGCCCCUCAAGGCCAGCUUGUGACCGCCAUCCGGCAGAGACGAGGAAGGGGA